AUUCCUGACCCUUAUCUAUGUUGAUGGACAUAAUUCUGCUUAUACUCCAUGAUAUGGCAAUGCCAGACUGUAUUUGUCCAUUUACCUAUUGGUUAAAAAUCGUUUAAAUUUUUUCUACUUUUCAGGAACUAACUACUGCAGACAAUAUUUCAAUAUCUUUUUUCCUUUGAAAAUAAUUUAGUAAGUAUGGAAUACUUAGUACAAGGACCUAGUUAAUAAGGGAAUUCACCAUAGUCUGUAGCAAACUGCUAUUGUUUUCUAGUUUAUGAUAAGUUCAUAAUAAACUAUAACACCCAGGAAAAUAGGACUAUAUCUAUCUGUACAUUUCUUGCAUAUUUUCAUAAAACUAUGACUAGUCAAAAUUUCAAAGCAUUGCUAAAUGAAUAAAUAAAUCAAUUCCCAUAGCCACUCUCAAAGACUAAAAAGAGCAGGAUCACAAGAUGUUCAGGAUGGGACAGUUUCAUUUGACCAGUUCCCCAUGAACCUAAACUGCCUUUGUCUUUCUGUCUCCAGGUUGAAGUUGAGACCAACCCACUGUUCAGAGUAACACAUAAAUCUGCUGUUCAGAUCCACUUGUGGCUACAACGUACCUUCAUGUCGACACACUUGAAGCAAAGAAGCAGAACUUCUGGUUCACAACUUCCAGUCCUGAAAUCCAGAAAAUUCUGGGGAAAAAAAUUUUUUCUGAAAAAUCUUUAUCCAGCUUGACUUGAAUUCAUCUGAGGACAAAUUUGAUCUGAGCUGACAUGAAGGUACUUAUAGUCCUAAUUUAUUAUACUUAGUAGGAAUAUUUAUGCAUUUUAAUGCAAAAACAAUCAUGUGUUAAACUACAAGGUGUUCUCCCAGAC
rnacentral:lncRNA from 1 species